GCAAGUCGAACGGUAACAGGAAAAGCUUGCUUUUUGCUGACGAGUGGCGAACGGGUGCGUAACACGUAUACAACUUGCCUUUAACUGAGAAAUAGCCCGAGGAAACUUGGAUUAAUAUCUCAUAAUAUUACUUCAUCGCAUGAUGGUGUAAUUAAAGCUUUGGCGGUUAAAGAUAGGUAUGCGUUCCAUUAGCUAGUUGGUGAGGUAACUGCUCACCAAGGCUACGAUGGAUAGGGGGCCUGAGAGGGUGACC
rnacentral:rRNA from 1 species